rnacentral:rRNA from 1 species
UACGAAGGGGGCUAGCGUUGCUCGGAAUCACUGGGCGUAAAGGGUGUGUAGGUGGCGCCGUAAGUCGGGUGUGAAAUUUCGGAGCUUAACUCCGAAACUGCAUUCGAUACUGCGGUGCUUGAGGACUGGAGAGGAGACUGGAAUUCAUGGUGUAGCAGUGAAAUGCGUAGAGAUCAUGAGGAAGACCAGUGGCGAAGGCGGGUCUCUGGACAGUUCCUGACACUGAGGCACGAAGGCCAGGGGAGCAAACGGG